rnacentral:lncRNA from 1 species
CUUCUUCUCCUCUUUUCUAGAGUUUCUGCUUACUUUAUGCUACUAAAAAAUACUAGCAACCAGCAAAUUAUGGGAUGCCCAACACCUUGGGUAUGGAACUCCUUGUGACUCACAUCCCAAAGAAUGGACUUGUGAACACCCAAGAGAAGAGAAAGGGAGCGGAAGAGAGGGCAUGGGGAGAGCCUUUGGGCAUGAGGGGCUAU